rnacentral:rRNA from 1 species
CGGACGGGUGAGUAACACGUGGAUAACCUACCUAUAAGACUGGGAUAACUUCGGGAAACCGGAGCUAAUACCGGAUAAUAUUUUGAACCGCAUGGUUCAAAAGUGAAAGACGGUCUUGCUGUCACUUAUAGAUGGAUCCGCGCUGCAUUAGCUAGUUGGUAAGGUAACGGCUUACCAAGGCAACGAUGCAUAGCCGACCCGAGAGGGUGAUCGGCCACACUGGAACUGAGACACGGUCCAG